UACGGAGGGGGCUAGCGUUGUUCGGAAUUACUGGGCGUAAAGCGCACGUAGGCGGCUUUGUAAGUUAGAGUUGAAAGCCCGGGGCUCAACUCCGGAAUUGCCUUUAAGACUGCAUCGCUAGAAUUGUGGAGAGGUAAGUGGAAUUCCGAGUGUAGAGGUGAAAUUCGUAGAUAUUCGGAAGAACACCAGCGGCGAAGGCGACUUACUGGACACAUAUUGACGCUGAGGUGCGAAAGCGUGGGGAGCAAACAGG
rnacentral:rRNA from 1 species